rfam:Candidatus Microthrix parvicella RN1 genomic scaffold, 2605
AUUCAAGUUAUGAAGGGCCAACGGUGAAUGCCUUGGCGUCUGCUGCCGAUGAAGGACGUGGGAGGCUGCGAUAAGCCACGGGGAAGUGCCGACCAACUGUCGAUCCGUGGAUGUCCGAAUGGGGAAACCCAGCACCCGUAAUGGGGUGUUACUCCGACCUGAACGCAUAGGGUCGGUAGAGGGAACUGCGUGAACUGAAACAUCUCAGUAACGCGAGGAACGUAAAGCAAAAGCGACUCCCUGAGUAGCGGCGAGCGAAAUGGGAUCAGCCUAAACCGUACUGGUGUUAAAGCCCGAUGGCGUUGCCAGUGUGGGGUUGUGGGAACCAACCGAGGGAACAUCGGACCCUCAAGGAGUUACAAAACUGAUGACUAGUGGAAGCGUCCUGUGAACGGCGCGCCGUAGAGGGUAAGAGCCCCGUACACGAAAGUUAUCAGUCUCCUGUUGUGUCUCCCGAGUAACGCCGGAUCCGGGAAAGCCGGCGUGAAUCAGCGAGGACCACCUCGUAAGGCUAAGUACAUGCAGACGACCGAUAGUGAACUAGUACCGUGAGGGAAAGGUGAAAAGUACCCCGGGAGGGGAGUGAAAUAGUACCUGAAACCGUUGGUCUACAAACAGUCAAAGCAGACUUGUUCUGCGAUGGCGUGCCUUUUGAAGAAUGAGCCAACGAGUUACGGUGUGUGGCAAGGUUAACCCGAUGAGGGGAAGCCGGAGCGAAAGCGAGUCUGAACAGGGCGUUCAGUCGCAUGCCGUAGACCCGAAGCCGAGUGAGCUAUCCAUGGGCAGUGUGAAGCGGAGGUAAGACUCUGUGGAGGCGCGAACCGACUUCAGUUGAAAAUGGAGCGGAUGACCUGUGGAUAGGGGUGAAAGGCCAAUCAAACUCGGUGAUAGCUGGUUCUCCGCGAAAUGCAUUUAGGUGCAGCGUCGUGCGUUCAACGAUGGGGGUAGAGCACUGAAUGGGCUAGGGGUCCUACAAGACUACCGACCCCAAUCAAACUCCGAAUACCAUCGUUCCAGAGCACGGCAGUGAGACCUCGGGGGAUGAGCUUCGAGGUCGAGAGGGAAACAGCCCAGACCGCCGGCUAAGGUCCCAAAAUCUGAACUAAGUGGUAAACGAUGUGAGAUUGCGAAGACAGCCAGGAGGUUGGCUUGGAAGCAGCCAUCCUUGAAAGAGUGCGUAACAGCUCACUGGUCGAGUGAUCUUGCGCGGACAAUGUAACGGGGCUCAAGUUCAGUACCGAAGCCGCGGAUGCGACUCUUUGAGUCGUGUGGUAGCGGAGCGUCGAGCGUGCAGCGAAGCGGCGGGACAACCCAGCCGUGGAGCGCGUUCGAGUGCGAAUGUUGGCAUGAGUAGCGAAUGAGGGGUGAGAACCCCCUCCGCCGUAUGUCCAAGGGUUCCUGGGCGAGGCCAAUCCUCCCAGGGUGAGUCGGGAGCUAAGGCGAGGCCGAGAGGCGUAGUCGAUGCACAACUGGUUGAUAUUCCAGUACCACCAUGUUCGCGUCCGUCCCAAUACUCUGUUGCUAAGGGGCUGUGUUGACUUCGGUCAACGCGAACCGACCCACAUUGUUGCGGGAAGCUGUAGGGGGACGCAGGAAGGUAGAUGAACCCGGUGAAUGGUAGAACCGGGGUAAGCGUGUAGGAGGAGGACCAGGUAAAUCCGGGCCUCAUAAACUCUGAGACGUGAUACCGAGCCGCUUCAGGCGAAGUCAUUGAUCCUAUGCUGCCUAGAAAAGCCCAGCAGCGAGUUGACAUGGUGCCCGUACCCCAAACCAACACAGGUGGACAGGUAGAGCAUACCAAGGCGAGUGGGAUAACUAUGGUUAAGGAACUCGGCAAAUUGCCUCCGUAACUUCGGGAGAAGGAGGACCCCAGUAGCGUGAUGAGACUUGCUCUCUGAGCGUGAAGGGGUGGCACAAAAUUGAGGGAAGCGACUGUUUACCAAAAACACAGCAGCGUGCUAAGCCGUAAGGCGCUGUAUACGCUGUGACUCCUGCCCGGUGCUGGAAGGUUACGGGGAUGGGUUAGUCCUUCGGGACGAAGCUCUGAACCUAAGCCCCAGUAAACGGCGGCCGUAACUAUAACGGUCCUAAGGUAGCGAAAUUCCUUGUCGGGUAAGUUCCGACCUGCACGAAUGGAGUAACGACUUCCCUACUGUCUCAACCAUAGACCCAGCGAAAUUGAAGUACGAGUAAAGAUGCUCGUUAGCUGCAGAAGGACGGAAAGACCCCGUGGACCUUUACUAUAACUUGAUGUUGUGUUUUGUCAUAUGUUGUGUAGGAUAGGUGGGAGACUUGGAAGCAUGGACGCUAGUCUGUGUGGAGUCAUCGUUGAAAUACCACCCUGCAUAUGGUGAGGCUCUAACCUAGACCCGUUAUCCGGGUUGGGGACAGCGUCAGGCGGGUAGUUUAACUGGGGCGGUUGCCUCCUAAAGAGUAACGGAGGCGCCCAAAGGUUCCCUCAGCCUGGUUGGCAAUCAGGCGUUGAGUGCAAUGGCAAAAGGGAGCUUGACUGCGAGACCUACAAGUCGAGCAGGAGCGAAAGCUGGGCAUAGUGAUCCGGCGGUUGCGUGUGGAAGCGCCGUCGCUCAACGGAUAAAAGGUACCCCGGGGAUAACAGGCUAAUCUUGCCCAAGCGUCCAUAGCGACGGCAAGGUUUGGCACCUCGAUGUCGGCUCAUCGCAUCCUGGGGCUGAAGCAGGUCCCAAGGGUUGGGCUGUUCGCCCAUUAAAGCGGUACGCGAGCUGGGUUCAGAACGUCGUGAGACAGUUCGGUCCCUAUCCUCUGCAGCCGGAGGUGAAUUGAGGAAAGCUGUCCCUAGUACGAGAGGACCGGGACGGACGCAGCUCUCGUGUGCCAGUUGUCCUGCCAAGGGCAUGGCUGGUUAGCGACCUGCGGAAAGGAUAACCGCUGAAAGCAUCUAAGCGGGAAGCCUCUUCCAAGAUGAAUUCACCCACAGGGUUAACCUGGUAAGGCCCGUGGUAGACCACCACGUUGAUAGGCCGGAAGUGUAAGCGUGGCAACACGUUCAGCUGACCGGUACUAAUCGGCCGAGGGCUUGAGUUC